CAGCAAUCUUCAUGAUGUAUUAUUGUCUAUCUUCCCUCCACCUUUUGUUCCUUUUUUUUUUUUUGGUAGAUCUCACUGAUGGGCCUGAGUUAAUCCUGUACCACCACCACCACCACCAUCAUCAUCAUUUCUCUCCCUUGAAGCCCUCUGUGGAACAAGACACAUCUCAAAGCUUCUGUCUGUUUCUUCUGCAUCUCAGAACUAAUUUCAGAAAUCACUGGUGCACCAAGUUCACCAAAUCUCUGGGGAGAGGAGACGCCAACCUGAGGAGCAACGUUGGUUGUAAAGGUAGAUAAUCGAGAACUUGGCCACACCCACCAUCCCUGUGGUCUCACUUUGGUUCAUCCUCAUUCAUUCUGUCUCGAGAUGCAAUUUCUUGUCCAAAUCCAUUGCCUUGCUCUUUUGGGGGUGAUAACUUCUGUUCAGGCCUUCUCAGACAUUGCUUCUAUUUAUUUCACAAUCUGGAGCAACUGAGGGUGGUCCCUUGGGUGGAAGAUAAAUCAGAAUUCACUCAGAACCAAAGAGGCAGGGUGAUAUAAGAGAGGGUUCUUUUUAUCUGUGCUUGUGUUUGCUUUGGUGGUACAUAUACUUAAAAUGAUUUUAAGCAUUAAAUCAUGCAUGCAAGGCAGGAAAGAGUUAAUCUGUCCCAGCCCCAUGGAGGAAAAGCAUGGGGAAACAUUAGCCAUCUCUGGGGAUAUUUUGUGUUCUAGGAGCUCUAGUAAACACUUUGCAUCUAGUAACUCACUUAAGCCUCAUGCUCACCACACUAUGUGUUAGAAACAACUCUUUUCCUUCAGUUUUCAGAUGAGGACACUGACACUAAAAACUUUUAGCAACUUGGCCAAGUUGGCAAGUUGAUAAGUGGUGAGGCUGUGUUUGGAACCUAAGCCGCUUGGCUGUAGAGUGCACACUUUUAACCACUAAUUUGUGCCUCACUCUAGCUGGUGCCUGGGUCCUCCCCACAGUCCUAGACCUGCAGCGCUGGGCUCUGAUACCCAGCAGGCUGGUGGGAUUGGCCAGGGAAGCUGCUGACGCUGUGAUGAGGUGGUAACUGCCAUG
rnacentral:lncRNA from 1 species